UCUCAACUACCAGAAUGCAGCGCGCGCUUUUUUAAAUUUAAAUCAAACAAAGCGCGCGCUGAAUGCCGGUAGUUGAGGA
rnacentral:pre_miRNA from 1 species